rnacentral:rRNA from 1 species
CCUACGGGAGGCAGCAGUGGGGAAUAUUGCACAAUGGGGGAAACCCUGAUGCAGCGACGCCGCGUGAGUGAAGAAGUAUUUCGGUAUGUAAAGAUCUAUCAGCAGGGAAGAAAUAGCGACCUUUGGGUCGCCAGACGGUACCUGAUUAAGAAGCCCCGGCGAACUACGUCCCAGCAGCCGCGGUAAUACGUAGGGGGCAAGCGUUAUCCGGAUUUACUGGGUGGAAAGGGAGCGUAGACGGCAGCGCAAGGCUGAAGUGAAAUGCCGGGGCUUAACCCCGGAACUGCUUUGGAAACUGUGGAGCUAGAGUGCAGGAGAGGUAAGUGGAAUUCCUAGGGUAGCGGUGAAAUGCGUAGAUAUUAGGAGGAACACCAGUGGCGAAGGCGGCUUACUGGACUGUAACUGACGUUGAGGCUCGAAAGCGUGGGGAGCAAACAGGAUUAGAUACCCCAGUAGUC